ACCAUCUUUGGCUGUAAGACUAAUGUCCUGGGCACUCAUCACAAUACAAGCCCACAGAGUGAUUUUGGGGGUCUGAUUCUGCAAACUCCUGUUGAAACUGCUAGUUUGGGGUGUAUAGGGAAUGCAAGAUUAGGCCCUUUAUAUGCAGUUUGAUUCUUUUAUGUGUUACUCCAUUAACCUUGCUGGGGUGUAAGAAGUCAAAACUUGGUCUAUAUUUUGCAGCAUGGUCUCGUGGUUAAGGGCUUGCAGUAACAACAUCUGUGUUCUAUUCCCAGCCUAGACACAAGAUUGCUCUGUGAUUUUAGGCAUGAUGGAACUCCUCAGAAGAACACAUCCUGUUUUCAAGAGCAUUCUGGGAGCAGCUGUUAAGUACAAACCUUUCCCAUCAUACCAGAUACUUCCCAUAAGCUUCAAAAACAGGUCCGAAUGAUCAGAAUUGCACCCAGAAUUGGCACAUACAGUUAUGGUUACUGUACAGACAUUCUUGGUAUUCUGUUACAAUAAUGCCAAGCCGGCCCCAUUGUGCUAGGCACUGUACAAAUACACAGUGAAAGACAGUCCCUGCCCUGAAGAGCUUACAGCCUGAAUGAUGGAAAGAGAAACAG